ensembl:lncRNA
AGUAGUAGUAGUAGUAGUAGUAGUGGUAGUGGUAGCAGUAGUAGUAGUAGUGGUAGUGGUAGUAGUAGUAGUGGUAGUAGUAGUAGUAGUAGUAGUAGUAGUAUGUAGUAGUAGUAGUAGUAGUAGUGGUAGUAGUAGUAGUAGUAGUAGUAGUAGUAGUAGUAGUAGUGGUAGUAGUAGUAGUAGUAGUAGUAGUAGUAGUAGUAGUAGUAGUGGUAGUAGUAGUGGUAGUGGUAGUAGUAGUAGUAGUAGUAGUAGUAGUAGUAGUAGUAGUAGUAGUGGUAGUAGUAGUAGUAGUGGUAGUAGUAGUAGUAGUAGUAGUGGUAGUAGUGGUAGUAGUAGUAGUAGUAGUAGUGGUAGUGGUAGUAGUAGUAGUAGUAGUAGUAUUAGUAGUAUUAGUAGU